rnacentral:rRNA from 1 species
GACGAACGCUGGCGGCGUGCCUAAUACAUGCAAGUUGAGCGCUGAAGGUUGGUACUUGUACCAACUGGAUGAGCAGCGAACGGGUGAGUAACGCGUGGGGAAUCUGCCUUUGAGCGGGGGACAACAUUUGGAAACGAAUGCUAAUACCGCAUAAAAACUUUAAACACAAGUUUUAAGUUUGAAAGAUGCAAUUGCAUCACUCAAAGAUGAUCCCGCGUUGUAUUAGCUAGUUGGUGAGGUAAAGGCUCACCAAGGCGAUGAUACAUAGCCGACCUGAGAGGGUGAUCGGCCAGAUUGGGACUGAGACACGGCCCAAACUCCUACGGGAGGCAGCAGUAGGGAAUCUUCGGCAAUAGACGAAAGUCUGACCGAGCAACGCCGCGGGAGUGAAGAAGGUUUUCGGAUCGUAAAACUCUGUUGGUAGAGAAGAACGUUGGUGAGAGUGGAAAGCUCAUAAAGUGACGGUAACUACACAGAAAGGGACGGCUAACUACGUG